GGAUGAACGCUGGCGGCGUGCCUACUACAUGCAAGUCGAGCGAACAGACGAGGAGCUUGCUCCUCUGACGUUAGCGGCGGACGGGUGAGUAACACGUGGAUAACCUACCUAUAAGACUGGGAUAACUUCGGGAAACCGGAGCUAAUACCGGAUAAUCUAUUGAACCGCAUGGUUCAAUAGUGAAAGACGGUUUUGCUGUCACUUAUAGAUGGAUCCGCGCCGCAUUAGCUAGUUGGUAAGGUAACGGCUUACCAAGGCAACGAUGCGUAGCCGACCUGAGAGGGUGAUCGGCCACACUGGAACUGAGACACGGUCCAGACUCCUACGGGAGGCAGCAGUAGGGAAUCUUCCGCAAUGGGCGAAAGCCUGACGGAGCAACGCCGCGUGAGUGAUGAAGGUCUUCGGAUCGUAAAACUCUGUUAUUAGGGAAGAACAAAUGUGUAAGUAACUAUGCACGUCUUGACGGUACCUAAUCAGAAAGCCACGGCUAACUACGUG
rnacentral:rRNA from 1 species